GCUUGUCUCAAAGAUUAAGCCAUGCAUGUGUAAGUAUGAAUUAAUUCAGACUGUGAAACUGCGAAUGGCUCAUUAAAUCAGUUAUAGUUUGUUUGAUGGUACCUGCUACUCGGAUAACCGUAGUAAUUCUAGAGCUAAUACAUGCAUCAAGCCCCGACUUCUGGAAGGGGUGUAUUUAUUAGAUGGAAACCAAUGCGGGGCAACCCGGUAUAUGGUGAUUCAUAAUAACUUUCGGAUCGAUUUAUCGAUGCAUCAUUCAAGUUUCUGCCCUAUCAGCUUUGGAUGGUAGGGUAUUGGCCUACCAUGGCUUUAACGGGUAACGGAGAAUUAGGGUUCGAUUCCGGAGAGGGAGCCUGAGAAAUGGCUACCACAUCCAAGGAAGGCAGCAGG
rnacentral:rRNA from 1 species